AGAUUUGGUCUCAUGUUUGUCACCGCAAGCAAUUGAAACAACUGGCGUGUCUGGCAACAGAUGAAAUAAGACAUGGCCUAGUACAGAUAUGUUCUACAACUGGAAAAAAAUGGUUAUGAUUGAGGCUUAGAAGUGGAGUGCAGUGAAGAAACUUUAGGGAAGCCUGACAACCACACCCUCUGCUGAUCCCUGUGGAAUUUUACAUGGAUAAUGAGUAAAAGAUUGACUCCAGAAGAAGGAGAU
rnacentral:lncRNA from 1 species